rnacentral:siRNA from 1 species
CAAAGUUAAGAAGUCGUCUGGCCA